rnacentral:rRNA from 1 species
UACCGAGGGGGCAAGCGUUAUUCGGAAUUAUUGGGCGUAAAGGGCGCGUAGGCGGCUUUGCAAGUGACGGGUGAAAGCCCUCGGCUUAACCGAGGAACUGCCUGUCAGACUGUGAGGCUUGAGACCGGGAGAGGUGAGUGGAAUUCCCAGUGUAGCGGUGAAAUGCGUAGAUAUUGGGAGGAACACCAGUGGCGAAGGCGGCUCACUGGACCGGAACUGACGCUGAGGCGCGAAAGCGUGGGGAGCAAACAGG